rnacentral:tRNA from 1 species
UAGAUUAAAGCCCGUUGUUUGGGUUUUUAGCUGUUAACUAAAAGGUCGCAGGAUAAAAGCCUGUUAAUCUAG